rnacentral:rRNA from 1 species
UACAGAGGUCCCAAGCGUUAGGCGGAAUCACUGGGCUUAAAGCGUGUGUAGGCGGAUUGGUAAGUACCUUGUGAAAUCCCACGGCUCAACCGUGGAACUGCUUGGUAUACUGCCUGUCUUGAGCCACUUAGGGGCUGUCGGAACGAGCGGUGGAGCGGUGAAAUGCGUAGAUAUCGCUUGGAACGCCAACGGUGAAAACAGACAGCUGGGAGUGUGCUGACGCUGAGACACGAAAGCCAGGGGAGCGAACGGG